GCCUGUUAAAAGUAUCUGUCCCCCUGGUCGAACGAUUACUGAUAUCAGGUCUAGCGACUCUUUUAAUCUUGUGUUAUUGUGAAGCCAUCUAGGUUCGCAAGAAACUAGAGUUGAAACGUUUUAUGUUUUUUUUUUCUUACAGUUAGGAAAGAUAUAUAUCUACUUUUUUUAGUUCUUCGUAUUCAAAACUAAUGGUGUCUAUUUU
rnacentral:lncRNA from 1 species